rnacentral:rRNA from 1 species
UGCCAGCCGCCGCGGUAAUACAGAGGGUGCAAGCGUUAAUCGGAAUUACUGGGCGUAAAGCGCGCGUAGGCGGCUUGCCAAGUCAGAUGUGAAAGCCCCGGGCUCAACCUGGGAACUGCAUCUGAUACUGGUUCGCUAGAGUGCAGCAGAGGAGUGUGGAAUUUCAGGUGUAGCGGUGAAAUGCGUAGAUAUCUGAAGGAACACCAGUGGCGAAGGCGACACUCUGGGCUGACACUGACGCUGAGGUGCGAAAGCGUGGGGAGCAAACAGGAUUAGAUA